rnacentral:lncRNA from 1 species
AAGGGAAUUCCAGGUGAUGCAGGAAUAAGAGGUUUAUCUGGGCGUACUGGAGAACAGGGUCUGCCUGGUGUAAAGGGUGAAAAAGGAAAUCGUGGUAAUUCUGGAAUGAAAGGAAUUCCAGGUCCACCAGUAAGUAUUUUUCACUAAGGUUUGCUUUUUUCCAGUAAAUAUUUUUUGUGCUAUAAAUCAUUAC